GUGUGCGUGUGUGUAUAUACGAUCGAUCAGGGACAGAGGGUGGGGUGAAACCCUAGUUUCACCAAAAUCCAUCAAAUUGAAGGGGGAUUGAAGGGCUAAACUAAUGCAUGAACCAAGUUUUUCGAUCACUUUAGCGUUUCUACCAUCAUGUAAGUCGAAUUUUGGUAUUUCAAUGAUGUUUGAUCAAGUGGGUUUUGUGUAAUAUGUGAUUAUAGUGUAAGAUUUUAGCAUGAAUGUUAGUUAUAAUGAAUGUGUAGAUGCCAAAGUAUGUUUAAUUUUGAUUAUGAUGAAUAUUGGGGGAAAACCCAUUUGCUAUAGGUAGGGUGGCGACAUGGGUAUACUACCCAUGUCAAAUCUUAUGCAAAUUCGAAAGUGUUAUGAUUUAUGUUAUUGGCUUUUGUCAGUUAGAUUUAGUAUGGUGUGAAGUUAUGCUAGUUUUAUUUAGAUGUUAAUGGCAAGUGAGCACAAGAAUUAGGAAGAUGAACAUGAGAAUAUUUGUACAUUAUGCUUUAAAUGCGAAACCCGCCAAGUGUUUGAUAAAAUGCCUACAAAGUUUGUGUAAAAUAGUUAGUAAAUUCGUCACUUUUGACAGCCUUAGAUAGUCAUCUUGUAAAGGCCGUAUCUCAUUCGUUAUUAGGAGUUAGACAACGAGCCUUAUAUCGUUGAAAAGGUUGUUUCGCAUAUUACAUUUCAUAUUUGGUCAUAAGAGGCUGGUUAUGAGAUUUAGUGGGUCAAAACAGCAUGAAAAGUUAGUAAAUUCGUCACUUUUGACAGCCUUAGAUAGUCAUCUUGUAAAGGCCGUAUCUCAUUCGUUAUUAGGAGUUAGACAACGAGCCUUAUAUCGUUGAAAAGGUUGUUUCGCAUAUUACAUUUCAUAUUUGGUUAUAAGAGGCUGGUUAUGAGAUUUAGUGGGUCAAAACAGCAUGAAAAGUUAGUAAAUUCGUUUUGACAGCAAGCUGUUUGGAAGCAUUUCAGCUUCUGUGCUGAUUUUGUAAAAAUCAUAUAAAAUCAUAGGAAUGUCCGAUUGUUACGAUCUUUAUAUGCUUAGAAAGAUCUCUGAGUGUAGAUCAUUUCAUAUUUGAACAUGAAGAACUGAAUCAGAAGAUAAAUGGGUUAAAAUGUGUCGUGAACAGCUGCUGCGCAGAAAGUUGCUGCACAAAUUUUAGUAUAAAUAUUCAGUAAAAAUAGUUGUAUUGUUAUGCACACUUGUAUGAAUCAUGAACUACUGAUUUUAAUAAAUUAUUAGUAAGUUACUUGAUUGUUUUAAGUGUCUAAAACACUUACCAACUAGUUUAUGCAUAUAAUUGCACCAACGGGUCGAAACGGGUUGUUGAUAGAAAAUAGUAGAAUGGAUGUGUAAAAACCAAGGUGUUAAGAAAUGGUAUGAAAUGUUUAACAUAUGAAGCAAGUUGCCUAACUUAGAAAAGGUUAUCAUUCUAAGUAUGGAAUUUUGAAAGAAUAACGAACAUGAUGUAAAUACAUAAUUAUGCAUGCUAGAAGCUCAUGUAUGACUGUUGUGAUGAUGGAAUGAUAAAUUGUUAGAUUGAUUAGCAUUGUAGUAUUAUGAUACAUGUUGAACUCGUUAAGCGAUUGACACGUGAAUAGAAGUGUGAUUAGUGAUGCGUAUGAUUAUGUAUACUAACUAUUGAAUGGAUGUAAUGGAAUGAGAUAAUAGGAACGUGUCAAGGAGAGGUCAAGCAUAGGAGGAUAACGGGUCAAGAUAAGGCAAGGUGACAAAUACACUUAUUGGAGUACUCAAGGAAGGAACAUUGGCAUGUAUGAAGGUAUGGGAUCGUUGGCUUCAUGAAGAAAUGGAGCUGGAUUUGGAUAAGAGUAUUUAAGAAAGCGCUUGGACAAUUCCACGACUACUUUAUAGAAUGCUCUACGAAACUCUAUUAUAUAGUUUAAUGUUGUAUGGUAUGUUAAUGACUAAUGGUUUGGUUGUACGUGGUGUCCACAGGUAUCGCUUGGGUUUUCUCUACAUUUAUUGAAGUGAAGCGGACUUAGUUCGAGUUGAGAGCAAGGAUUGUACGGGGUAGAAUGGUCACAUAGUGUAACUCAUAUAGGUUUUGAAGUAUUAAUGUUAUAAAACGUUAUAAAUCCGUUUUAAUGAAUAUAUGGCAUUUCGCAUUUGAACCUUCAUGUGUUUGAUAUGUCUAUUAA
rnacentral:lncRNA from 1 species